UGGAGACUCUAAAUUGCCCGUGAAUGUGAGUGCGAAUGUUUGUAUGUGCCCUGUGAUUGGCUGGCAACCAGUUCAGGGUGUACCCCGCCUCCUGCCCGAUGACAGCUGGGAUAGGCUCCAGCACGCCCCCGACCCCUAGUGAGGAGAAGCGGCUCAGAAAAUGGAUGGAUAUAUAUUUGUUUUUUACCUUUCCGGAAGUCCUUCCUCCCGCGACUGUGAUUGGCAGGUGGCGACGCACGUGUCUUGAUUUGUGCCGCACUGCACUAUGACUAACUGUAGAAAAUCCAAAAUAUAAAAGCCGAAAUUUAAAAGUUGAUAAAUUGGCAUUAAAACGAAACUACGAAAACAAAAGGGAAGACAGAGAAGGAGACACAGAAGGCUUGGAAAGCGUUGCCCCCCAUCCUUAUCAUCCCGGUGAGGUUGGAGAGGAUUGGCCCAGAGUGCUUCCUGUGUCACAUCUCCAGUGGAGGUACCCAUCCGCCCUUUGAAGUCAGACACAAACACUGGAAACACUUUCAUCGGCCUGAUGUGUCAUCACAGUCCGGUCCCAUGUAUAUCCUGAGUCAUCACCAGAUGUUUCGACAGGAUGACUUCCAGUCCUCAGGAAGAACUCUGCACUUUUGAAAGAGAACCCAACAAGCCUCUAUUAAACGAGACAAAGAAAAGCAGUCAACAAACAUUUGCUGCCAUGAUUAGUAGCGCAUCAGGGCUUGUAAAACGUUCAAUGCCUAGUGUCUCUGGAGGGCAGACCAAAGUGUUUCUCGGGUCUCUAAUUGGGGCGACACAACCCAAAUGAGAGGAGUGUUUGAGGUCAACAACAGAGGAGGAAGUAGCUCAGGCAGCAGACCUUCAGAUAAAAGCUUACAGGUGCGAGCGAGCGCGCUCGUACAUAUGCAUGCAAGCUGUGGCGCUUGUUUGUUCUGGUGUCUGUUUGUAUGCGGAAAAUGCAGCUCCCAAAGCAUAAUGUGUUUGCUCAGUCCGAGCAUGCUGUGUACUCUGGACAACAUUCCCCGGCCCGCCUCGCUCACUGCGAGCUUUGUUUGCGCACGCUAAAGGAGGCUCGGCGCCCUUCCCUUCUCGCUCGCAAAUUAGUAAUUCACCUUUUGAGGAAGAACAUCUCGCCGUGUGUUUAUGUGCGAGACAGAGUGUGUGCACGUGUGAGAGUGACUGAGAGAGAGCAAGAGUGUGUGAGUGAGUGAGUGAAUGCGUGUGCGUGCGUUCUUGCAUGUGCCCCAGUGUGCUCCGCAUCAGAGAGCGACUCCCAGCAUGCAGUGUUGUUGUAGGUGAGGGUGAGGAGCUUCCCUGAUGGGCUGCUGUGGCAGAAAGGCCAGCUUUGAUCGAAGGCCCAAGAAGAAGAAGAAGAAGAGGAGGAGGGGGAGGAGAAGAGGAAGAUGAUUGGGACGGGGAGGUCACCCAGGAGAACAACGAGGUGAAGUGCCGCUACAAAAUGAGUCAACAGCAAUCCUCUUUUAGCGCGACAACCACUGAAAGUCUCCCAAUUUUUUACCCUCCGCAGCAAAUUUCCUUUUUCCUUAAUCUACCCGUGCACUGCAUUGGAUUCUUCCUAGAUAACUGAAUAAUGCAUUUAUUCAUUAGGCUCGGGACAGCAUAUCGACCGUUCACACGUUGAGUCGCGUGCUGAAUCUGUCGGAAGUGUCUCAAAAGACAAACUGGCCACCUGUGCACACAUGCACACAAUGCAUUCGCUCUCGAUGCGUGUCGAUUAGGUUACAAUUGGAGGCCGAUGCAUUUAAAAGAUGUUUUAGCGUCUAUCUGAUGUUUACACUGCAUUGCUAAUUGUCAAGUGUUUACACUUAUUUCGCUUUAAUGCAUUUGUCCGAAAUCCACGGCACAAAAAGGAAGAGAAACCAAAAGACUAUUGAAGUACUCUGGGAAAGCUUUUUUUCUGUCAGCCAGCCCAAGUGUCCCCCUUAAAGCUGCCUUUAUUUUGUUAACAUGCUCAAACUGAGAGUUCAGGUUGUCACCAUAAAUUCAUACCAGUGGGCCACUUCCGUCUUGCAUGCAGCUCACUGUUUGUAUUUAUUUUUAUGUGCUUGCAAUUUGAAAAAGUACUACUACUUUUAGGGCCAAUAAUCGCCCAUGGUUUUUAGAUCGUUGAUAAAGCCCAUAUGUAUGCAUGAGUCUAUGUGAAUCAUUUAUUAUUGCCAGUUGAUCAAGCGAGAUGUGUUCAUAUAACAUCAAACAGUAAUUAUCUAAUGAAUGGUGUUUGAACCGUUUAAACAAGGUCCACAUUUGCACAGGAUAAUUAUUUUCUUAACUGCUUUAUUUAAUUGCAUUUGUGUACGGUGGCAUCUUGACUGGUGAGUUUUAUUAAUUCCAUAACUCAAUUGCAUAUAAGGUCGUACUGCCGUUAGCCCACCCCCAACUUUUUGGUUACAUUUUGGUAAAGAAAAAUAGCAAUGUAUUUUAAAGUGUAAAUAUAAAAAAACAUCUAAAAUAGAUGUCAAGAAAUAAACUGGUUUUAUAGUGUAUUGAAGCUGAAAGUCAUGUAUACUGUAAGAUGAAUAAACAGUGUAGACGUUUAAUAUUUCAAA